rnacentral:rRNA from 1 species
GACGAACGCUGGCGGCGUGCUUAACACAUGCAAGUCGAACGGAAAGGCCUUUUCGGAGGUACUCGAGUGGCGAACGGGUGAGUAACACGUGGGUGAUCUGCCCUGCACUCUGGGAUAAGCCUGGGAAACUGGGUCUAAUACCGGAUAGGACCGCACUUUAGUGUGUGUGGUGGAAAGUUUUUUCGGUGUAGGAUGAGCCCGCGGCCUAUCAGCUUGUUGGUGGGGUAAUGGCCUACCAAGGCGGCGACGGGUAGCCGGACUGAGAGGUUGGUCGGCCACAUUGGGACUGAGAUACGGCCCAGACUCCUACAGGAGGCAGCAGUGGGGAAUAUUGCACAAUGGGCGCAAGCCUGAUGCAGCGACGCCGCGUGGGGGAUGACGGCCUUCGGGUUGUAAACUCCUUUCGCCAGGGACGAAGCGUUUUGUGACGGUACCUGGAGAAGAAGCACCGGCUAACUACGUG